ensembl:lncRNA
UCAAGGCACAGGGCUUUAAAAUUAUAGACGCAGGUCCUGACUUCAAGCAUUGUGGCUGUUUCUUUGUCCAGAUGCUGAUAUAAGUGUAAUUGUGGAUGGAGUGAAAUGUGAAGCAAUGCACUUGAGUUGAAUUCUUCCCGCUCAUAGAGAAACAACUUGUAAUCACAUUUUCAAGGAUCUUCUGAACUUCUCUAACCUCAGGAAAUUACAUGGAAAAGAUGAAUUGCAAUACUUAAGGCAAGAGAAAAUUUACCUUAUCAAUCAUUACACCACCCUGCAAGAGGACUGGAAUUCCAGAUACUUUGGAAUAAUGGCCAGGAAAUGCAGGGCAUGUUCAGUGGACAUUUGGAGGAUGAGAGCAAAAGUUCAGCUUGAAAGGAACAGGUGGGUGAGGGAUUAGGCUGGAGAAGUAUGUGGGGUAGGUGAUGAUGACUUUAUAUUUCUUAUAUAGACUUAUAAGGACCAGGAGGGUAACUGAUGGAUACUAGGCAGAGGAGCAGAAUUACCAGAAUAUAGCUUAGAAAGACUAUUUAGUAGCUUUGUGGAAGGUGGCUGGAGAGAGAAAGACUAUGAAAAAGACCCAUCAAGAUGUGACUUUGUAAAGCAAUUGUCCUCCAAUUAAAAAUGAAUGUGAAAACCAAAAGAUGUAGUAACUAAGGGUAGAAAUGAUGGAGGCAUGAAUGAAACAAGGAUGGGAGAUGGUCAGACAUUGGAAAGAGGUUUGGUAGCUAAACCAAAUGAUAUAGAAGGAGGAGUUCAGUAGGAUUCCAAGGAUGACCUUACCUCUGCUCUAAGGACCAGAGACCCAGGUCAACUGGGUCUUUUUUAUUGUCUUUUUAAACCCCCUCUUCAUGUACAGAACCCUGAAUAUAAUGUCCUUAUGAUUUUCAUAUUUUUUUCCAGCAAUUAGUUCAUUUCUUUUCUUUCCCCUAAGCCUAUGAAUACCAUAGAUAUUCCCACUCAUCCUGUGUAAACUUUGUGAGACCUAGAGGCCAAUUCUUUCUUGAAGAUGUGGUAAGAGGUUUCUAAUUUUGCUGAAAUUUUAUGAGCAAUAAAAUUUUUAUUUUAUUUUGUAACA